rnacentral:rRNA from 1 species
AACGAACGCUGGCGGCAAGCCUAACACAUGCAAGUCGAACGAUGCUUUCGGGCAUAGUGGCGCACGGGUGCGUAACGCGUGGGAAUCUGCCCUGGGGUUCGGGAUAACAGCGGGAAACUGCUGCUAAUACCGGAUGAUAUCGCGAGAUCAAAGAUUUAUCGCCCUGGGAUGAGCCCGCGUCGGAUUAGGUAGUUGGUGGGGUAAGAGCCUACCAAGCCGACGAUCCGUAGCUGGUCUGAGAGGAUGAUCAGCCACACUGGGACUGAGACACGGCCCAGACUCCUACGGGAGGCAGCAGUGGGGAAUAUUGGACAAUGGGCGCAAGCCUGAUCCAGCAAUGCCGCGUGAGUGAUGAAGGCCUUAGGGUUGUAAAGCUCUUUUACCCGGGAUGAUAAUGACAGUACCGGGAGAAUAAGCCCCGGCUAACUCCGUG